rnacentral:misc_RNA from 1 species
UUUCCGUAGGUGAACCUGCGGAAGGAUCAUUAGUGAAUUGAAUAUGUUAGCGGACCUCUUCGGAGUCCCUAGCAUCAAAUCAUAUCCAUAACACCUGUGAACUGUAAGGCUGUCUUGAAAACGAAAGUGAUUAGAGCGCCUGCCCAUUUUAUACAAACAUUAAAGUAACAAACGUAGUCUAUUAUAGUCUAAUAAAACUUUCAACAACGGAUCUCUUGGCUCUC